rnacentral:rRNA from 1 species
GGUAGCCUACGGGGGGCAGCAGUGAGGAAUAUUGGUCAAUGGCCGGAAGGCUGAACCAGCCAAGCCGCGUGAGGGAGGAAGGCGCAGAGCGUCGCAGACCUCUUUUGCCGGGGGACAAAAGGCCGGACUCGUCCGGUCCUGAGGGUACCCGGAGAAAAAGCAUCGGCUAACUCCGUGCCAGCAGCCGCGGUAAUACGGAGGGGGCAAGCGUUAUCCGGAAUGAUUGGGCGUAAAGGGUGCGUAGGCGGCCUGCUAAGUCUGGAGUGAAAGGUACCGGCUCAACCGGUACAGGCUCUGGAAACUGG